GAUGAACGCUGGCGGCGUGCUUAACACAUGCAAGUCGUACGGUAAGGCCCUUUCGGGGGUACACGAGUGGCGAACGGGUGCGUAACACGUGAGUAACCUGCCCACAACUUUGGGAUAACGCUAGGAAACUGGUGCUAAUACUGGAUAUGUGCUCCUGCUGCAUGGUGGGGGUUGGAAAGCUCCGGCGGUUGUGGAUGGACUCGCGGCCUAUCAGCUUGUUGGUGGGGUAGUGGCCUACCAAGGCGGCGACGGGUAGCCGGCCUGAGAGGGUGACCGGCCACAUUGGGACUGAGAUACGGCCCAGACUCCUACGGGAGGCAGCAGUGGGGAAUAUUGCACAAUGGGCGCAAGCCUGAUGCAGCAACGCCGCGUGCGGGAUGACGGCCUUCGGGUUGUAAACCGCUUUCAGCAGGGACGAAGCUUUUUGUGACGGUACCUGCAGAAGAAGCACCGGCUAACUACGUG
rnacentral:rRNA from 1 species